UUACUACUCCCUCUGUCCCAAAUUUCAUGUCUUAGAUUUGUCUAGAUACGGAUGUAUCUAAUACUAAAAUGUGACUUGAUACAUCUGUAUCUAGACAAAUCUAGGACAAGAAUUUUGGGACGGAGGGAGUACUUU
rnacentral:pre_miRNA from 1 species